UAUGGACAUGAGGAAUCAUGGAGUAAAGCUUGCCAUAAGAAGUCAGCAGAAGCCGUAGUAGUGACCUUAGGGUCAUGAAGGGC
rnacentral:ncRNA from 1 species